rnacentral:lncRNA from 1 species
UUCUUAAAAACAAGAGUAAGAAAUUCUCAUCGACAACAAGUGGGAAAUUGAGAAGAGAUCGACUCAAAAGUGAAGUUAUGCUUCACUUGAAAUAAAUCUCUAGCUGUCUAUAAAGUGGGCAUCUAUAUAAUCUAUGUUGGGAUUGAGACAACUUCAAGUGACGGCCCCUUGUUUUUUUCCGACGGUGAUUGAUUAUUCCGGCGAGUUCUUGGAGGCAAAUGGUGUUUGAAACAAAGGUUGGAGUAG